AUGCUCAAAGUGUGGCUGCAUGUUGUGGUUCGGCAAAUUCAGCAGCUGUGACCGGGUAUUUUGAUGCUUGGGAAUCAGCAGCGGGGAUAGAGUCCAAAAUGUACGAGGAUAACAAUAUUAAAAUGUGCAGUAACGUGCCUACUGAUGAUGUGGACGAAUGGAGCAAUGUGUCUUUUGGACAUCUAUUGGCACUAGCACAUGCUGCUGGUGGCUCCACAGUCACUACUGAAAAUGCAAAUGUUGAAACUAAUUUUACCUUGAAUGGCUCUUUCAAUUCGCUCGUCAGUUUACAGGAUGCAGGUAAAGAAUUGAAAUAUUCAUUGACUCGUCACCAUGGAAUAAUAGAAAUGCAUAACACCUGUAGAAACUUCAAAGUUACGAGAGUCACAUUCCUUGUAUAUGUCAUAAGUGUCUUCAAUGUGGCUCAAUGGCUGUCUCUUGAUGGAUAACUAAGACCUGCAAAAGGAUAGAGAACAGAAUAGAAUAAGAAAACUAAUCAGUGUAGAUUCAAGUAAAAUUACAAUUCCUAGUGGAUAAAUUACCUAGUAUUCAGUUGAACAUUCUAGUGAACACUUCAUAAAGUUGCAAUUAGAUGAGCAACGGAAUCAGGUACCUCGUACUAAAGUCUGAGGUGAAACAAACUGUGAUGUGUAGCAUAUCUGACUUGUGUUUCUCUGAUUGUGUACACUAUUCAAUAAGUGAUGCUUUCUCGAUUAGUCCUGUUAAUUUUUUCUUUUGGUUUAGCAUAGUCAACCGGAAUCGUUAAAAAAGAGCUGCUUUCAUUCUGAGAUUUCUUCAAUAUACUAAUAUGAAAGAUUUGUGUAUCAUGCAGAUGG
rnacentral:lncRNA from 1 species